rnacentral:rRNA from 1 species
GUCUACGGCCAUACCAUCCUGAAGCGCCCGAUCUAUGUCUGAUCUCGGAAGCUAAGCAGGGACGGGCUUGGUUAGUACCUGGAUGGGAGACCGCCUGGGAAUACCAGGUGUUGUAGGCU